UGAUGCGGUCAUACCAAGGCUACUACACCAGAUCCCGUCAGAACUCUGAAGUUAAGCGCCUUUGGGCCGGAAUAGUACUGGGAUGGGUGACCU
rnacentral:rRNA from 1 species